UACGGGGGGCAAGCGUUGUUCGGAAUUACUGGGCGUAAAGGGCUCGUAGGCGGCCAACUAAGUCAGACGUGAAAUCCCCAGGCUCAACCUGGGAACUGCGUCUGAUACUGAUUGGCUUGAAUCCGGGAGAGGGAUGCAGGAAUUCCAAGGUGUAGCGGUGGAAAUGACGUAGAUAUUCGCAAGAACACCAGUGGCGAAGGCGGACUCACUGGCCCGUAUACUGACGCUGAGGCACGAAAGCGAUGGG
rnacentral:rRNA from 1 species